CCUUUUCAACCUUGUCUCUGCAUCAUUUACUAUUUCAGAACCCAGGAUUUGUGCACACAAGGUUCUGAAGCAAUGACACUUCAGCAGGAAGCAAGCAGCUGCUGUUUUAUCAAUGAAACAAGUGCAAGAGGCUGCCCUGAACGGUGUGAAACAUUUUCACCUGGCCUCUGGCAGGGCUGUAUUUAAGCGAGGAAGAGAGCUUGCUGGAGGCCUUAGAGGAGCAGGGGCUUGUUCUGCAGUGCUCUGGUUAAUGCCUUGCUUCUGCUUUAUCUGGGCUGUGAGAAGGAGGUUGUGGUGGGACAAGAAGAGAGGCUUUAUUUUCUCCGAGGAGCUGAGCAUUGAAGAGCAAAAUCUGUGAGAAGAGGGAAGAAAUAUUUCUGCCCUGAAUUUGAGGACGCUAGCCACAACAUGCUUCUGCACUAGUGUCAUAGAGGAAGGAAAGCAUACCUCUGUGUUCAAGUCAGAGGGUGGAUUUGGGCUAUAAUUUAAUUUCCACAGCAGCAUGUCCCAAUCAGUUGGAAAGCCUGUAGUUAGCCCGUUCUCAGGAACAACAAAUAAAUAGGAGUUGUUUGAGGAAGCUUCGAUUGCUCAAUAUGAACUUCACUUCCAGCUGAACUGGCAGUUCUUAUGUUAAAGUGUUCCGGAAAACUUCCUUCAGUGAUGCUUUCUACUCUACCAGCAGAUCCUGCCACACAAGGAACGUAAUACAUCCGUACCCUAGGCACAACUCUGCUGCCUUCUGGUGCUAAAAGCGAGUUCACUUUGAGGUGCCAAGCUUACAGGAUGUGCUUAGGUUGGAGCUGAACUUCUCCCUCCUGGGAGGGGAGGAGAGAACUUUCAAGUACUCCAAAUAUAAAUGUAACAGCUUCUCAGACCGUGUUUCUCUUCCCUUUUUAUCAAGCAAAUUAAAUCAGCACAUGCAGCAGUAGAGCGGCUGGAAGAUAAAGCAUCUCUUUAAAAUGUAACACUUUCGAAUAAGCACUCUUCUUAGAAAAGGAAGUGGAACUCUUUGCUGAUGGCUGCCUUAUGGAAAACGCAGCCACAUCUGGGUAUGAAUGGCUUCCUGUGGGGAUGGUGCAGUGUCUCAAGGCUUUCUCUCAUAAAUGAGGAAUGUUCUGCCACUUUUCUGAUCAACUAAUGGCACAUAAAUGAUGUCCAAUUACUUAGAAAAUUCAAUUUAUAAAAUCUGUAAAGAAACUUUUGUUUCUCAGACUUAAUAUUUCACAGAGCUCGUGGCAGGCAGUGGCCUGAGCUAUCGAAGUACCCUUGGAUGUUUUGGAGAAACACAGUCAAGGUUUUUGUAGCCUAAAAUGUCUUAUCAAAGCUAAAAUUGGCAUCGGUGUCUUGCUGGGACAAACAAAGGAAGACUAAACUUGUCAUUCAGCCUGGAACUGCCGAGUAUUUCUGCUACAGCUGCUUGAGAUAACAGAAGUUUACCUUAGGCUUGUACAACCAUCUUGCUCUUAAAGGUCAAAGAAUAUUUUCUACCUAAGGCAACAAACAAAACGAAUUAUUUCAUCCAAAAUUGGACAAAAGCCUUCACCCAAACUGGGCCAUCCAGCAAACACAACACACAGAUGCAAGUAAAAAACACUCAGAAGUUUGCUCCCUGGAGUUAACUUAAUAAACACUUCUCCUUUCUACCAGAAGCUUAGUCUGGUUUUGUCAGAAGCUUAUACUUUUUCUAAUUGCCUGCACAAAAGACUCUUAAAUAAUGUUUUGACAACUGAAAUAUUACAUCUUCAUAAAUAAAGAGAACUGUCAAUAUUGCUAGCGCAGAAGCAAAGGAACCAGAUGCAGUACUAAGAGCUGGGGGAGGGGACAGUGAUUCACAAGUUAAGAAAAGCAUCUGCUUAUAGUUUGAUAGUAGCUGUCUUGCUAAAUCCAGCCUAGAAAUUCAGAUUGUGCUACAGCUGGCAUAGAGAUUAUGAACAUUUCACUGGCCAGAAAUCUGUUCAGCACUAACAGCAUCAGAUCAAAAGGGUAUUCAGUUCAUUUCUGUCCUUUCCAAUAAAAAAACAGAAGUGUCCCUGUGCCUAAAGGUCAUUCUUGCACCUGUCUUUCAAGCCUAGAAGAAUCUGCUAUAGUAGUUCUAUGCAGCAUGUUUCUCCCACCCUCAGGUUGCACGUGGGCCUUUACAUUGAGCCUUUCUCUACUUUUACCCUGGCUUGGAAAGGUGCACGCAGGCUCUCAGAGCUCAGCUCUACCUCCUUUGAUCACCCUUAACCCCGCGUUCAGCUGACAUGCAAAACAAACCUUUUGACAGCCCCGAUGCACAAAGUUCUCCGAUAACCUGCAGGGAAAGGCACCUGACAGCACCUCAGCGGCAUCGCUACGCGUACAGCCGGGCAGCACGCGCCGGUACCUCACCACACCACCGGGAAGGAGCCGCUUCGGGACGAGCAGACCGGGCGCUACGGCCUUUCUGAGCAGAAGAUCCCUGAGGAGAUGUCCCUGAGGAGAUGUCCCCGAGCAGCAGGCCCUGGGGACGGGCUGGGCUUCUCCAGCUGAGGCAGGGACCUCAGUGAGGAGCCCCUCAGCUCCUGCAGGAGCACCGGGGGGGGCUCAGCCUUUCUCCC